CCCCCGGGGGGGAAUUGACGGGGACCCGCACAAGCGGUGGAUGAUGUGGAUUAAUUCGAUGCAACGCGAAAAACCUUACCUACCCUUGACAUGUCUGGAAUUCCGAAGAGAUUUGGAAGUGCUCGCAAGAGAACCGGAACACAGGUGCUGCAUGGCUGUCGUCAGCUCGUGUCGUGAGAUGUUGGGUUAAGUCCCGCAACGAGCGCAACCCUUGUCAUUAGUUGCUACGAAAGGGCACUCUAAUGAGACUGCCGGUGACAAACCGGAGGAAGGUGGGGAUGACGUCAAGUCCUCAUGGCCCUUAUGGGUAGGGCUUCACACGUCAUACAAUGGUCGGGACAGAGGGUCGCCAACCCGCGAGGGGGAGCCAAUCCCAGAAACCCGAUCGUAGUCCGGAUCGCAGUCUGCAACUCGACUGCGUGAAGUCGGAAUCGCUAGUAAUCGCGGAUCAGCAUGUCGCGGUGAAUACGUUCCCGGGUCUUGUACACACCGCCCGUCACACCAUGGGAGUGGGUUUUACCAGAAGUAGUUAGCCUAACCGCAAGGGGGGCGAUUACCACGGUAGGAUUCAUGACUGGGGUGAAGUCGUAACAAGGUAACC
rnacentral:rRNA from 1 species